rnacentral:rRNA from 1 species
AGUGAACGCUGGCGGUAGGCCUAACACAUGCAAGUCGAACGGCAGCACAGUAAGAGCUUGCUCUUACGGGUGGCGAGUGGCGGACGGGUGAGGAAUACAUCGGAAUCUACUUUUUCGUGGGGGAUAACGUAGGGAAACUUACGCUAAUACCGCAUACGACCUACGGGUGAAAGCAGUGGAUCUUCGGACCUUGCGCGAUUGUAUGAGCCGAUGUCGGAUUAGCUAGUUGGCGGGGUAAAGGCCCACCAAGGCGACGAUCCGUAGCUGGUCUGAGAGGAUGAUCAGCCACACUGGAACUGAGACACGGUCCAGACUCCUACGGGAGGCAGCAGUGGGGAAUAUUGGGCAAUGGGCGCAAGCCUGAUCCAGCCAUGCCGCGUGGGUGAAGAAGGCCUUCGGGUUGUAAAGCCCUUUUGUUGGGGAAGAAAAACAGCAGGUGAAUACCCCGCUGUUCUGACGGUACCCAAAGAAUAAGCACCGGCUAACUUCGUG